GUGGGGAAUAUUGGACAAUGGGCGAAAGCCUGAUCCAGCCAUGCCGCGUGUGUGAAGAAGGUCUUCGGAUUGUAAAGCACUUUAAGUUGGGAGGAAGGGCAGUAAGUUAAUACCUUGCUGUUUUGACGUUACCGACAGAAUAAGCACCGGCUAACUUCGUGCCAGCAGCCGCGGUAAUACGAAGGGUGCAAGCGUUAAUCGGAAUUACUGGGCGUAAAGCGCGCGUAGGUGGUUUUGUAAGUUGGAGGUGAAAUCCCCGGGCUCAACCUGGGAACUGCCUCCAAAACUGCAUGACUAGAGUACGGUAGAGGGUAGUGGAAUUUCCUGUGUAGCGGUGAAAUGCGUAGAUAUAGGAAGGAACACCAGUGGCGAAGGCGGCUUACUGGUCCAUUACUGACGCUGAGGUGCGAAAGCGUGGGGAGCAAACAGGAUUAGAUACCCUAGUAGUCC
rnacentral:rRNA from 1 species